rnacentral:rRNA from 1 species
UGGCGACCAUAGCGUUUUGUACCCACCUGAAUCCAUUCCGAACUCAGAAGUGAAACGAAAUAGCGUCGAUGGUAGUGUGGGGUUUCCCCAUGUGAGAGUAGAACAUCGCCAGGCU